rnacentral:rRNA from 1 species
CCCUUAGAUGUCCUGGGCCGCACGCGUGCUACACUGAUGCAUACAGCGAGUACUUUCCAGCUCCGCGAGGCAGCUGGUAAUCAGCAAUAUGCAUCGUGCUGGGGAUAGAUCUUUGGAAUUAUAGAUCUUGAACGAGGAAUUCCUAGUAAGCGCAAGUCAUUAGCUUGCGCUGAUUAAGUCCCUGCCCUUUGUACACACCGCCCGGCGCUCCUACCGAUUUCGAGUGAUUCGGUGAACCUUUUGGACAGCGUCUGUCCUCGUGUCAGAUGCUGAAAGUCAAGUAAACCAUAUCACUUAGAGGAAGGAGAAGUCGUAACA